rnacentral:rRNA from 1 species
UACGUAGGGGGCAAGCGUUGUCCGGAAUCAUUGGGCGUAAAGAGCGUGUAGGCGGUUCGGUAAGUCGGCUGUGAAAGUCCAGGGCUCAACCCUGGGAUGCCGGUCGAUACUGCCGGACUAGAGUUCGGAAGAGGCGAGUGGAAUUCCCGGUGUAGCGGUGAAAUGCGCAGCUAUCAGGAGGAACACCAAUAGCGAAGGCAGCUCGCUGGGACGGUACUGACGCUGAGGCGCGAAAGCGUGGGGAGCGAACAGG